ACUUAUUUACUCCUUAUCAUCAUGCCCUUUUAGCUAUUGUUCACUCUUUUCAGAAGCCUCAGUCAACUAUAGGGAGGACGGCAGAUGCUAUUCCAAGUUGGCAAUAGGCAAUGUUCGAAUAACUUACUGCCGUUCCAGGCUAAUUUGCUAUGUAAAACGACUAUAUUAGCAAGCCAAUCUAGAUAUUUUUUAAUCUAUGCC
rnacentral:lncRNA from 1 species